rnacentral:rRNA from 1 species
AUUGAACGCUCGCGGGAUGCUUUACACAUGCAAGUCGAACGAGUGGCGGACGGGUGAGUAAUAUAUCGGAACGUGCGCAGUAGAGGGGGAUAAAUACUCGAAAGAGUGGCUAAUACCGCCUACUAUUGGAGCGGCCGUGGUCGGAUUAGCUAGUGGGUGUGGUACAGGCUCACCAAGGCAAAGAUCCGUAGCUGGUUUGAGAGGACGACCAGCAACACUGGGACUGAGACACGGCCCAGACUCCUACGGGAGGCAGCAGUGGGGAAUGUUGGGCAAUGGGGGAAACCCUGAUCCAGCCAUCCCGCGUGUAUGAGAAGGCCUGCGGGUUGUAAUGUACUUUUGGCAGAGAAGCGGUAUCUGCAGAAUAAGCACCGGCUAACUACGUGCCAGCAGCCGCGGUAAUUC